AACGCACAUUGCGCCCGGCAGCAAUCUGCCGGGCAUGCCUGUCCGAGCGUCAUUUCUUCCCUCGAGCGCGGUUCGGCCCCCAGGGGCCUGCCGCCGCCCGGUGUUGGGGAUCUGCGGGCGUGAAAGCCCGCAGGCCCUUAAAUGAAGUGGCGGUCCCGCCGCGGCGCCCCCUGCGUAGUAGUAAAGCACCUCGCAUCGGGUCCCGGCGUAGGCCAGCCGUCGAACCUAUUACUUUGAUGGUUUGACCUCGGAUCAGGUAGGGAUACCCGCUGAACUUAA
rnacentral:misc_RNA from 1 species